AAGCAGCCGCGGUAAUUCCAGCUCCAAUAGCGUAUAUUAAAGUUGUUGCAGUUAAAAAGCUCGUAGUUGAAUUUCGGGAUCAGUGGGUCGGUCGUGCCAAUGGUAUGCACUGGCCCCUACUGGUUCCUCCUUCUUGAAGAACUGUAAUGCCAUUAAUUUGGUGUUGCAGGGAAACAGGACUGUUACUUUGAAAAAAUUGAGUGUUUAAAGCAGGCGAUCGCUUGAAUACAUUAGCAUGGAAUAAUGAAAUAGGACGAUCGAUCCUAUUUUGUUGGUUUCUAGGAUUGACGUAAUGAUUAAUAGGGAUAGUUGGGGCAUUAGUAUUCAAUUGUCAGAGGUGAAAUUCUUGGAUUUAUUGAAGACUAACUACUGCGAAAGCAUUUGCCAAGGAUGUUUUCAUUAAUCAAGAACGAAAGUUAGGGAUCGAAGACGAUCAGAUACCGUCGUAGUCUUAACCAUAAACUAUAGCCGACUAGGGAUCGGAUGA
rnacentral:rRNA from 1 species